CAAAAACAUCGCCUCUUGUUAAACUAUAAGAGGUCCAGCCUGCCCAGUGACCCUGUUCAACGGCCGCGGUAUCCUAACCGUGCGAAGGUAGCGUAAUCACUUGUUCUUUAAUUGUGGACUAGUAUGAAUGGCAUCACGAAGGCUACACGUCUCCUUUUUCUAAUCAGUGAAACUAAUCUCCCCGUGAAGAAGCGGGGAUAAUAAUAUAAGACGAGAAGACCCUAUGGAGCUUCAAACAGUAUAGCAACUAUCAAAUAACUAAAGACUUUCCGAAUCCCUAAAUAUAAAAAUUUUUAUGACUAUAAGUUUUUGGUUGGGGUGACCACGGAGCAUAACAUAACCUCCAUGCUGAAGGAAUUACUUCUAAGCUAAGAACCACCUGUCUAAGUAUCAAAACAUUGACAUCCAUUGACCCAAUACAUUUGAUCAACGAACCAAGUUACCCUAGGGAUAACAGCGCAAUCCACUUCGAGAGCCCAUAUCGACAAGUGGGUUUACGACCUCGAUGUUGGAUCAGGGUAUCCUAGUGGUGCAGCCGCUACUAAAGGUUCGUUUGUUCAACGAUUAAAACCCUACGUGAUCUGAGUUCAAACCGGA
rnacentral:rRNA from 1 species